rnacentral:rRNA from 1 species
GACGAACGCUGGCGGCGUGCUUAACACAUGCAAGUCGAGCGGAAAGGCCCUUCGGGGUACUCGAGCGGCGAACGGGUGAGUAACACGUGAGUAACCUGCCUUCAGCUUUGGGAUAACCCUCGGAAACGGGGGCUAAUACCGGAUAUUCAUUCUGGCCGGCAUCGGUUGGGGUGGAAAGUUUUUCGGCUGGGGAUGGGCUCGCGGCCUAUCAGCUUGUUGGUGGGGUGAUGGCCUACCAAGGCGGUGACGGGUAGCGGCCUGAGAGGGCGACCGGCCACACUGGGACUGAGACACGGCCCAGACUCCUACGGGAGGCAGCAGUGGGGAAGUAUUGCACAAUGGGCGGAAGCCUGAUGCAGCGACGCCGCGUGGGGAUGACGGCC